rnacentral:rRNA from 1 species
GUGGGGAAUAUUGGACAAUGGGCGAAAGCCUGAUCCAGCCAUGCCGCGUGUGUGAAGAAGGUCUUCGGAUUGUAAAGCACUUUAAGUUGGGAGGAAGGGCAGUAAGUUAAUACCUUGCUGUUUUGACGUUACCGACAGAAUAAGCACCGGCUAACUUCGUGCCAGCAGCCGCGGUAAUACGAAGGGUGCAAGCGUUAAUCGGAAUUACUGGGCGUAAAGCGCGCGUAGGUGGUUUUGUAAGUUGGAGGUGAAAUCCCCGGGCUCAACCUGGGAACUGCCUCCAAAACUGCAUGACUAGAGUACGGUAGAGGGUAAUGGAAUUUCCUGUGUAGCGGUGAAAUGCGUAGAUAUAGGAAGGAACACCAGUGGCGAAGGCGACUACCUGGACUGAUACUGACACUGAGGUGCGAAAGCGUGGGGAGCAAACAGGAUUAGAAACCCGUGUAGUCC